GAUCAAGCGCGAGAAGGGCGUUUGGUGAAUGCCUUGGCAGCAAGAGGCGAUGAAGGACGUGAUACUCUGCGAUAAGUCCUGGGGAGCUGAGAAUAAGCUUUGAUCCAGGAAUUUCCGAAUGGGGCAACCCACCUGAAAACUCGUUGUAAUUACCAUCGUCGAACAUCGUUCGACGGAGGUGGCUUACAGCGGGUUUAAACAGGUACUUCUUACCUGAAUACAUAGGGUUUGAAGAGCAAACCCGGGGAACUGAAACAUCUAAGUACCCGGAGGAAAGGAAAUCAAUAUGAUACUCCCCUAGUAGCGGCGAGCGAACGGGGACCAGCCGAGCCUUGAGAGUGAAUAGAAUGGUCUGGAAUGGCCAACCAUAGUGGGUGACAGUCCCGUAUAUGAAGCUUGAUAGGACGUAUUAAGUAGGGCGGGACACGUGAAAUCCUGUCUGAAGAUCGGGGGACCACCCUCGAAGGCUAAGUACUCCUUGCUGACCGAUAGUGAACCAGUACCGUGAGGGAAAGGUGAAAAGCACCCCGACGAGGGGAGUGAAACAGUACCUGAAACCGAACGCCUACAAUCAGUCGGAGGAUCUUUACGAUCUGACGGCGUACCUUUUGUAUAAUGGGUCAUCGACUUGGUCUAUCUAGCAAGCUUAAGCCGUUAGGUGUAGGCGCAGCGAAAGCGAGUCUUAAUAGGGCGUUGAGUUAGAUGGAUCAGACCCGAAACCGAGUGAUCUAGGCAUGACCAGGAUGAAGGUAAGGUAACACUUACUGGAGGUCCGAACCCACACCUGUUGAAAAAGGUCGGGAUGAGUUGUGCCUAGGGGUGAAAGGCCAAUCAAACUCGGAGAUAGCUGGUUCUCCGCGAAAUCUAUUUAGGUAGAGCGUCAUCCGAAUACCCCGGGGGGUAGAGCACUGGAUGGGUAAUGGGGCCCCACAGGCUUACUGAUCCUAACCAAACUCCGAAUACCCGGGAGUACUAGAUGGCAGACACACGGCGGAUGCUAACGUCCGUCGUGAAGAGGGAAACAACCCUGACCUACAGCUAAGGCCCCUAAUUCAUGGCUAAGUGGGAAAGCAGGUGGGACGACCAAAACAACCAGGAGGUUGGCUUAGAAGCAGCCAUCCUUUAAAGAUAGCGUAACAGCUCACUGGUCUAAUUAAGUUGUCCUGCGGCGAAGAUGUAACGGGGCUCAAGCCAUGAGCCGAAGCUUAGGAUGCCGUAAGGCAUGGUAGCGGAGCGUAGUGUGACAUAGACCUCAUCCGUAUUUGCAUCUUUCGGGAUGUAAUGACGGAUCGAGGUUUUUCUGUGAAGCCGGCCUGUGAGGGAUCCGGUGGAGAGAUCACUAGCGAGAAUGAUGACAUGAGUAGCGACAAAGAGUGUGAGAGACACUCUCGCCGAAAGUCCAAGGGUUCCUGCUUAAAGCUAAUCUGAGCAGGGUAAGCCGGCCCCUAAGGCGAGGCCGAAAGGCGUAGUCGAUGGGAACCAGGUUAAUAUUCCUGGGCCAUGUGGUGGUGACGGAUCUGAAACGUUGUUCUUCCUUAUCGGAUUGGAAGGGCAGCCAACGGGUUCCUGGAAAUAGCCCCACUUUAGGACCGUACCCUAAACCGACACAGGUGGACUGGUAGAGCAUACCAAGGCGCUUGAGAGAACGAUGUUGAAGGAACUCGGCAAAAUACCUCCGUAAGUUCGCGAGAAGGAGGCCCGGUUCCUAGGCAACUAGGGGCUGGGGGCACAAACCAGGGGGUGGCGACUGUUUACUAAAAACACAGGGCUCUGCGAAGUCGCAAGACGACGUAUAGGGUCUGACGCCUGCCCGGUGCCUGAAGGUUAAAAGGAGGGGUGAGAGCUCUGAAUUGAAGCCCAGGUAAACGGCGGCCGUAACUAUAACGGUCCUAAGGUAGCGAAAUUCCUUGUCGGGUAAGUUCCGACCUGCACGAAUGGCGUAACGACUUCCCCGCUGUCUCCAACAUCGACUCAGCGAAAUUGAAUUGCCUGUCAAGAUGCAGGCUUCCCGCGGUUAGACGGAAAGACCCCGUGCACCUUUACUACAGCUUCGCACUGGCAUCAGGAUUGUGAUGUGCAGGAUAGGUGGUAGGCUUUGAAGCAGGAACGCCAGUUCUUGUGGAGCCAACAGAUGAGAUACCACCCUUCGCACUCUUGAUGUCUAACCGCGGUCCGUUAUCCGGAUCCGGGACCCUGCGUGGCGGGUAGUUUGACUGGGGCGGUCGCCUCCUAAAGCGUAACGGAGGCGCGCGAAGGUUGGCUCAGAGCGGUCGGAAAUCGCUCGUUGAGUGCAAUGGCAAAAGCCAGCCUGACUGCAAGACUGACAAGUCGAGCAGAGACGAAAGUCGGCCAUAGUGAUCCGGUGGUCCCAAGUGGGAGGGCCAUCGCUCAACGGAUAAAAGGUACGCCGGGGAUAACAGGCUGAUACUGCCCAAGAGUCCAUAUCGACGGCAGUGUUUGGCACCUCGAUGUCGGCUCAUCUCAUCCUGGGGCUGGAGCAGGUCCCAAGGGUAUGGCUGUUCGCCAUUUAAAGAGGUACGUGAGCUGGGUUUAGAACGUCGUGAGACAGUUCGGUCCCUAUCUGCCGUGGGUGUAGGAUACUUGAGAGGAGUUGCCCCUAGUACGAGAGGACCGGGGUGAACGAUCCACUGGUGGACCAGUUGUCAUGCCAAUGGCAGUGCUGGGUAGCUAUGAUCGGACAGGAUAACCGCUGAAGGCAUCUAAGCGGGAAGCCCCCCUCAAAACAAGGUAUCCCUGAGGGCCGUGGUAGACCACCACGUCGAUAGGCCGGAGAUGUAAGUGCAGCAAUGCAUUCAGUUGACCGGUACUAAUGGCCCGAUAGGCUUGAUCCG
rnacentral:rRNA from 1 species